ACCUAAGUGGGCGCAGAAGACGAUUACCCUACCCCCACAGCGCCGAGGCUGCCAUCUUAUUACUCCCAAGAUUUUGAAUGAAAUUGGUUCAGACUUAUCAGAAUUCAAGUGCGGCCUUGCACAUCUCUUCUUACACCACACAAGUGCCUCUCUUACUAUCAACGAGAAUUAUGACUCUGAUGUUCGAGAUGACACCGAGACAUUCCUCAAUAAGAUAGUUCCUGAGGGGAGGUCUGCACCUUGGAAGCAUACUUUGGAAGGUCCAGAUGACAUGCCAGCGCACAUCAAAUCAUCAAUGUUUGGAUGUGCACUUA
rnacentral:misc_RNA from 1 species